UCCCCAGCCAUUGGAACUGAGGAGGAGAGACACCAGGGUUGUGUGGGCACAGAGGGAUGACCAUGUGAAGAGGCAGCAAAAGGAAGGCCACCUGCAAACCAGCCCUGCUGCCACCUUGACACUGGACUUCCAGCCUCCAGAACCACAUCAUCAAUUUCCUUUAACGUUUGCGGAGCCAGGAUCCGCGACCGUCCAAGCUACUGAUCGCCGUCCUGAUCCAUUGGUUGGGAAAGAGAUUGGAAACAUCACCACAAAACAUGCUGCAAACCCCGACUCGGACUCCGCUGGGGCUGAACCAAUGCCCCCACACAGCCCCGACUCCCUCCCCAGCAACCGGCCGCCCCUCUCGCGACCAGCCAUUUUCCAGGCCUGUGUUAGUCCAUUCUUGCAUUACGAUAAAGAAAUGCCCGAGGCUGGGUAAAGAAAAGAGGUUUGAUUGGCUCAUAGUUCUGCAGGCUGUACAGGAAGUAUAGCAGCAUCUGCUUCUGGGUGGGCCUCAGGAGGCUUCCAAUCAUGGCAGAAGACAAAGGGAAAGCAGGCACAUCACAUGGUGAAAGGAGGAGCAAGAGAGAGGGAUAGUGAGGGGGAGGUGCCACACAAGCAACUAGGUCUCAUGAGAACUCACUAUUAGGAAGACAGCACAAAGCCAUGAUGGAUCCACCCCCAUGACCCAAACACCUCCCACCAGGCCCCACCUCUGCCUCCAACACUGGGGAUUAAAUUUCAAAAUGAGAUUUGGGCAGGGACAAAUAUCCAAACUAUAUCACCACAUGAGAAUCAAAGCAUCCGUUUCCCUGAACAACACAGAGCACAGAAGCCACCUACCUACCUUCUCAGGAGAGGAUGACAGAAUCAAAGCCAAGGUUUACAAAAAUCAAAACCCCUACCAGAAAGGGGUUUUGUCCCUGAGACUAACCACUGCCUCUGACACAGAUCUGCCCCAAAGCUGGGACAAGGGAUACAUCACUGUUAGUCUGUUUUCACAUUGCUAUAGAUACAACCUGAGAGUGGGUAAUUUAUAAAGAAAAUAAUUUAAUUGAUUCACAGUUCCACAUGGCUGGGGAGGCCUCAGGAAACUUAUAAUCAUGGUGGAAGGUGAAGGGGAAGCAAAGGCACACGUUACAUGGCGGCAUUAGCGAGCGUGCUAGAGGGAGGCGGGGAAGUGCCUCACUUUAAAACCAUCAGCUGUCAUGAGAACUCACUCACUAUCACAAGAACAGCAGAGGAGAAAUCUGCCCCCGUGAUCCAAUCAUCUCCCACCAGGCCCCUCCUCUGACAUGUGGGGAUUACAAUUCGAGAUGAGAUUUGGGUGGGGACACAGAGCCAAACCAUAUCAAUCCCACACUGGUAACUGCAAUCUUUUCCUUCAUUCCUUGGAAGUCUGCAGGAUAUGUAAGGUGAAAGGGAAGAGUGAGUUAAUCUGUUACAAAGUAAAGCCUGUCAUAAGGUGGAAUAUGAGAGCUGAUUUAAAACAUACAUGUACUCUGUAUUUAUCCUAAGGGUCCAAAGGAGCAGAUAAAAAUAAAUCAAGGUCUAGGGCUACGUGGUAUGGAACCACCAGAUCCAAACACAACCUGCACUAUUAUUGGGGUGCUUAUUAUAAUGCAUGAAUGGAAAUCAGUCUUGGCCAAGUAGAGCUAAAGCCAGAGAGCACAGGACUCAUAUUGCAAUUUGUCAAAGAAUUUUGAAAAAAUCAAAAGACAGUUGACACAGAUGGCCAUUACAUCUUGCUAUAUGGAUAAACUAAAAAACCAAAAGAUAUGUAUGCACACAGAAGGUAUCCUGAAGACACUAAGAAUAUAAACAUCCCAUUAACCAAGUUGGGAUGAAGCUUUCUUUCUUGGAAGAUUAUGUGUACUCUUCAUUUUGUUAUCAUUGUGUGUGUGUGUAUUGUUGUUGUUGUUGCUGCUGUUGUUUUGUGAGAACAAUUCUGUAAGAUUCUACAUUAACUACAACAAGGACGUUUUGUGUUCUGCUUUUGUAAUAUAGAUUUUACGUUGAAGAUUACUUAUAGUUAUAUUUGUGGAAAAUGUCUUGCUUAUUCUAGGUCAUAGAACGCUGAGUUCAGACUUUGGCUUAGAAUGUAGAAAACUGCAAGAGAAUGUAUGUCACUUCUACACUAACAACAAAAGCCAGAUUACGUACACAUAUAGUUUGGUGGCCUGUGUUCCUCUUAGUAGUCAUGCUCCAAAGAGGGUGACUACAGGGUACAUUGAGGGUGGCCAG
rnacentral:lncRNA from 10 species